rnacentral:rRNA from 1 species
UGGGGAAUUUUGGACAAUGGACGCAAGUCUGAUCCAGCCAUGCCGCGUGCGGGAAGAGGGCCUUCGGGUUGUAAACCGCUUUUGUCAGGGAAGAAACGAGUUUCUCUAAUACAGAGACUUAAUGACGGUACCUGAAGAAUAAGCACCGGCUAACUACGUGCCAGCAGCCGCGGUAAUACGUAGGGUGCGAGCGUUAAUCGGAAUUACUGGGCGUAAAGCGUGCGCAGGCGGUUAUAUAAGACAGAUGUGAAAUCCCCGGGCUCAACCUGGGAACUGCAUUUGUGACUGUAUAGCUAGAGUGCGGCAGAGGGGGAUGGAAUUCCGCGUGUAGCAGUGAAAUGCGUAGAUAUGCGGAGGAACACCGAUGGCGAAGGCAAUCCCCUGGGCCUGUACUGACGCUCAUGCACGAAAGCGUGGGGAGCAAACA